UUUAAAAAAAUUAAUUUAUUAAGGAAACACCACUGUGACGGUCGAAAAAAACGGUGAUUUUUGGGAAUUUUUUUGACAGGGAAAAUAAAGGAAUUUGGGAAUCGGAUUUUUUUUUAUUUUAUUGAGGGUACAUUGAAGAUUAUUACCUUAAAUUUUUAUUAAAAAAUAUUUAAUUAUUACAAAGUUAUUAACAGUCUCGUAGAGCACUAGAAAAAAUUUCC